UAUCUAACCACAAAUACAUCGAAAUGGGGAAAUAGGGCUAUAUUAAACUGUGCAAGAUGCUGCUGGAACUCAGCCACUUCUGCAACAUCCUGUAAUUAAUUUAUUAUGACAGGUCUGGCAAACUGAAACACUCAAUACACUUGCGACAGACUGUUAUGAUAUAGCUGUUUGAAAACCCUGAAGUCACAUAAAAUGCAGGUAUAACUGGAAAGGAAAAAGAAAAAAAAAGAAAAAAGCAUCAGCCCAACAUUGCCCUUAUUUCUCUGAAUCUAGAAAUCUUUCCCAGAGCCACAUUUGCUAACAUCAGGCAGUGUCUGUGGCAGAGGCAGAGCAGGGUACGAGCUGGAAAGGAAAUCCUUGCAGAAUAUAUUGGCUUAGAUCCUACUCUUCUGGGAGUCAGAAGGGCAGUUAAUGAUGUUCUAUGGGCAUGCUUAGCAAAGGAACCCCUUUUUCAUAUGCUGAGUCAGUGCAGGCCCCAUGAAAUUCUGAACUGGAGCUGAAACACUCAGCACUAGUUUAAUUUUCUUUUCAUUGCUCCUUAUCUUUGUUUCUUUGCCCGUGCUAAAAAUAUUUGAUUUUGCUUAAUAAUAAUGAAGAGAUUUCAAUGAAAUUCUAUGAGCUGCGGAAUGAAUUAGUACAAAUUUCUCACAAAUCAUUUUCUUUAUGUCUCAUUGUUUUGUUCUGAGGGAGGUGAUUAAGGUAGGUUCUCCAUGCACUGUACAACCGUAUAAAUAGAAGAAAAUCCUUCUUUCCGCCUUCCCAAAUUUUCUUAAGAAGAAUAGGUGGUUUUGCUUCUGUGCUUUCACUUCUUGUUUUAACGUGCACAAAUUAAGCCUUUCUGGGUCUAUCCACAUCUGCAGGUGAGAGGAGCAUGGUAAAUGCAAUUAGUUCUCAUCCCCACGUGUUACUCAUUUGGCACUGGUUGUUUUUUACAGACUGGAAAUGUUCCUUUAGUUCCACUACAAAAGUGGGUUAUUUUGCCAUUGCAUCAUCAAACAUUUUUUUUCUAUGUAUGUCACAGGGAUUUUUGACACCUUUGCAAGGCCACUGUGUAAAGCAAGUCAAUUUUAUGUUCUGCAUUAGUUUUAGUGCUUAAUGGAAGUAUACAGUCAUGGCUAUAGGAGUGACAUCAGCCCCAGACUCAUUAAAAGAAAUGCCAUCUAAAGCCAAGCUCUAACAGCCUGCAUAAGCCUAUAAUAAGCUUAUAGGGGGUGGUUAAUCCCCAUUGUAGUUUGGUAUAAUGUCAUAAUGAGAAGGUGACAUCAUGAAAAGGGCAGAAGGGGCACUCGGUGCACUCUGCAUUGUGGCCCAGGACACUGGCCAGACUCCCCCCAUCCCUUCUGCUGAACAGCAGCAUGGCUGGUCCUGACUGGACCUGAGUUGCAUCUGAUAAAAGCAUCUUUUCUGUUAAUGCAGGUGGAAUGCUGGUACAGCUCUGAGGUGGGGCUGCUCUGAGCUGGCAUGGGCUCAGGCUCACUGCUUUCCAGAUGUGUGCCGAGUCCUUAAACAGGGGAGGAGGCUGGAAGCUCUGACAGGCUCCUUGCCACAUGCUUGAGUGGAAUGGUGGCUGCAGCUGCUUUUUCUUUCCAUUCUAUCAGGUGACUUCCUUUGCAUUUAGCCUCAGCAAGGGGCAACAGGAGGCCUGCUGGGAGAGAGCAGGAGCUGAACUGAGCUGAGCUGCUUCAUGUCUGUCCAGCCCUGAGGGCGAGGAGAACAGGAUGGCCAGCUGCAGCCUCUGAUGGCUGGUGCCCACUGCCCAAGGGCUCUGCAAUAGUCUAGAGUAUGUGUUCUAGUCAUUCUCUUACCUGUGGUUAGAGUUAUUCAAAGAAGACACACUCUAACUGAAACUUGAAGUUCCCUGCAGCUAAUCCAGUACCACCUUGCUUGACUGAGAAUCCUGAAAAUGCUUAAAAUAAACAUGUUUUUCAAGGUGGACAAGGCUCCUUUCUAUAACAAAUGAGAACAAGAACAAGAAGUCUUAGGUAGUAAGUAUCUUUUUCAUCAGAACUUUGCAUGUGACCGGCUAGUGGGAAAUACAUUGAUAAUUUAAGUAAAUAUUUUUCAAAUGAAAAACACUUCCCACAUAUAUUUUUGGCUGAUUAUCAGCAAUUUCACAGUGGAAAAUAUCUGUGCAAAACACAUAUGAAGACAGAAAUAAUCCACUCUUCCUUGUAUAUAAGGGGACCGUGUGGCUGAAGCGUCCUGUCUGGAGUGCAAGUUCUGAUCUUUUCAUACCUUAGCUGCAACUCACGCAAGCCUAAAAUAACCAGAGCUUAGACUAUCGUGUUUAGCAGUAUUCUUAGCAGUUAUUUACUGAUCUGUGUGUGCUUCUUCAUACAACCUUGAUGAACAAUACUGAAAAACAAGGAAAGCUAUGUCAUACAUUACUUCAGUCUCAAUGAAAAAGCAACAGUUUGGAAAAAAAAAUGGCAUCUUUGAAAUGGAUUCCCAUUUACCAGAAUCAGGACAGGAGGCCAAGCAUUCACAGGAUGUCCUGGAGCCCACGAUUUUUCCAGUCAAACUUUUUCAAUCCUCCUGAAGAAGAUGGCUGCAACACAAGUUGGCCAAGCAUGUUUUCAGAUCAGCAUGGACAGCUGUGGCUUUAAACAAUGGCAACCAUUGUUAGGUCAAUUUUAAAGUAGGUCCUUAAAGUUAAUGUGAUUAUGCAAAUGUUGCCCUAACUACCGUGGCUGCCUUAUAUCCUUCACAAAUGACUGCAUUGUCACUUUUCAUUAGGUGCAUACAGUCCUGGUGGUUUGGUGGUAUCAUUAUAUCUCUCGGAAAUGGACCAUGUAAAGGCCAUUCACUGUUGGCACUGCAUUGUGCUUUCCCCCAAGCAGACCAACCUUGACCCACAAAUGAGGGUAGUAGGGAUUUUCAGGCCGAAUCCUUCGUGUGUUAUUCACAUGAUUACUCCCAUUGACUUCAUUUGAAACAUUUGCAUCAGGCAUGCACGAAUUACAUUAAAACGUGAUUGUGAAAUUAAGUCCAGUCCAUUCUGAACUGCAGUGUAUCUGGACAAGCCUCUGUAAAUGGCUUUAUGUGAGAUGAAUUUGUGAACAAAUUCAAAAAUUAAUCCAUUUUUUGUCAGAGAAAAGAAAAUGGCUUGGACAAAUUCAGCCAUUUUUCUUCCCUAGCGUCUUUAUCAUUAUUUGAUUUUAAUCAUGAAAUACACUUUUACAUAAAUAUGUGAUCACAAAUGAGGAAGCUGAGAGAUCUCAAGAUCCAUGUGUUCUGGAAGGUGGCAGAUUUCAGACAACUCAUCGGUUGGGGGACAUGACUGAUUUCAGACUCCUGUUUGCAUUGCUUUCAAUGAAAACCAGUGACUUGCAGUUUCAGUUCUCAUCACAGAAGAUGUUCUCACAGCAAUCUCUUGUUUGGAUUGUUUUCUCUUUUUUAUGAGUCUGAUGUUUUUCUGAAUUCUGGCCUGUAUGAUUUCUGUUCUAGUGGCCAAGUGUCUCCAUUACUCAAGCGUGUGAUACACAAACUGUGAUAGGCUCAGCUGCUAGUUGGGAUUUAUGUCUCCCCGGUAAAAUAUCCUUACAGUUUUUAGUAGGAUAAGUAAAUGUAUAUUUAGGGAGAUACAUGAAUUUGUUUGCAUGCACUUAACAUGAAUAAACACAAAAAACAAUCACCUCCUGAGGUAAAUCAGUGCCUCUCCUUUGCUGAUUUGCAGCACCUCUCCUACAAAUGCAAACUUCCUUAGGACAUUCAGUGACUAGAAAAUGCGAGGACAACAUGUUGUGUUGUUCUGUUGUGUUACUCGCCAUGCAGAUUCUCACAGCAUCUCCUUGGUGCUCUAGGUCACCCUACAGCCAUCCUGCGCUUUGCCAGCCUAUGUGCACAACUAGUAGAAAACUGGUAAGACCGCACCUACGCAUGCAGCCAUCAGGAUCUCCUGCUUCCUCUAAGCUCGAUUCUAGUGGGAAGUUUGGAUUAGGGAGUAAAAACCUACUUUGGCAUAGCAAUACUGAAACUGUAGCACUCAGCAUCAAUUUUAAGCAAGUGCAUGAGCCAGUAUGAGACUUCAGGCCUUCUGGAAUACUUCCUGCCCUUUAGACAAUAGACUAAUUUCUGCUAUUGAAAAUCCUUCAAAAAAAAGUCAGUUACAUGUGUUUAAGAGGAAGGAAGAAGAACUUGUACCCCGACAGUUAGGAAGACAAACUAAGGUAUCAUUUAAAUUUCACACUCUAUCCAUUCAAGCUGUCAUAUAAAAACCCAGUUGUUGGAUUGAUCAAGUGCCAGAGAGGAUGAUAACAGGUUAUUUUUUCGAAUGCAGACAGCACAGUAAGCCUUAGAAGUGACAACUUAACAAUAGGAAAAAAAA